AUUGAACGCUGGCGGCGUGCCUAACACAUGCAAGUCGAGCGAGAAAGGGUCCUUCGGGACCUGAGUAGAGCGGCGCACGGGUGAGUAACGCGUAGGUGAUCUACCCUCCAGAUUGGGAUAACAGUUGGAAACGACUGCUAAUACCGGAUACGCUCCAUAUUUAGCUUUAUGGGGGAAAGGCGGCCUCUGCUUGCAAGCUGUCACUGGGGGAUGAACCUGCGUCUCAUUAGCUUGUUGGUGGGGUAAUGGCCUACCAAGGCGACGAUGAGUAGCUGGUCUGAGAGGAUGAUCAGCCACACUGGGACUGGAACACGGCCCAGACUCCUACGGGAGGCAGCAGUGGGGAAUAUUGCGCAAUGGGCGAAAGCCUGACGCAGCGACGCCGCGUGAGGGAAGAAGGCCUUCGGGUCGUAAACCUCUGUCAGAAGGGAAGAAACCCUUGAGGUCGAAUAGGCCUCUUGGCUGACGGUACCUUCAGAGGAAGCACCGGCUAAGUCCGUG
rnacentral:rRNA from 1 species